GACGAACGCUGGCGGCGUGCUUAACACAUGCAAGUCGAACGGAAAGGCCCUGCUUUUGUGGGGUGCUCGAGUGGCGAACGGGUGAGUAACACGUGAGUAACCUGCCCUUGACUUUGGGAUAACUUCAGGAAACUGGGGCUAAUACCGGAUAGGAGCUCCUGCUGCAUGGUGGGGGUUGGAAAGUUUCGGCGGUUGGGGAUGGACUCGCGGCUUAUCAGCUUGUUGGUGGGGUAGUGGCUUACCAAGGCUUUGACGGGUAGCCGGCCUGAGAGGGUGACCGGCCACAUUGGGACUGAGAUACGGCCCAGACUGCUACGGGAGGCAGCAGUGGGGAAUAUUGCACAAUGGGCGGAAGCCGGAUGCAGCAACGCCGCGUGCGGGAUGACGGCCUUCGGGUUGUAAACCGCUUUCGCCUGUGACGAAGCGUGAGUGACGGUAAUGGGUAAAGAAACACCGGCUAACUACGU
rnacentral:rRNA from 1 species